UCAUUUAAAGAAAGCGUAAUAGCUCACUGGUCGAGUCGGCCUGCGCGGAAGAUGUAACGGGGCUAAACCAUGCACCGAAGCUGCGGCAGCGAUGCUUAUGCGUUGUUGGGUAGGGGAGCGUUCUGUAAGCCUGCGAAGGUGUGCUGUGAGGCAUGCUGGAGGUAUCAGAAGUGCGAAUGCUGACAUAAGUAACGAUAAAGCGGGUGAAAAGCCCGCUCGCCGGAAGACCAAGGGUUCCUGUCCAACGUUAAUCGGGGCAGGGUGAGUCGACCCCUAAGGCGAGGCCGAAAGGCGUAGUCGAUGGGAAACAGGUUAAUAUUCCUGUACUUGGUGUUACUGCGAAGGGGGGACGGAGAAGGCUAUGUUGGCCGGGCGACGGUUGUCCCGGUUUAAGCGUGUAGGCUGGUUUUCCAGGCAAAUCCGGAAAAUCAAGGCUGAGGCGUGAUGACGAGGCACUACGGUGCUGAAGCAACAAAUGCCCUGCUUCCAGGAAAAGCCUCUAAGCAUCAGGUAACAUCAAAUCGUACCCCAAACCGACACAGGUGGUCAGGUAGAGAAUACCAAGGCGCUUGAGAGAACUCGGGUGAAGGAACUAGGCAAAAUGGUGCCGUAACUUCGGGAGAAGGCACGCUGAUAUGUAGGUGAAGUCCCUUGCGGAUGGAGCUGAAAUCAGUCGAAGAUACCAGCUGGCUGCAACUGUUUAUUAAAAACACAGCACUGUGCAAACACGAAAGUGGACGUAUACGGUGUGACGCCUGCCCGGUGCCGGAAGGUUAAUUGAUGGGGUCAGCGCAAGCGAAGCUCUUGAUCGAAGCCCCGGUAAACGGCGGCCGUAACUAUAACGGUCCUAAGGUAGCGAAAUUCCUUGUCGGGUAAGUUCCGACCUGCACGAAUGGCGUAAUGAUGGCCAGGCUGUCUCCACCCGAGACUCAGUGAAAUUGAACUCGCUGUGAAGAUGCAGUGUACCCGCGGCAAGACGGAAAGACCCCGUGAACCUUUACUAUAGCUUGACACUGAACAUUGAGCCUUGAUGUGUAGGAUAGGUGGGAGGCUUUGAAGUGUGGACGCCAGUCUGCAUGGAGCCGGCCUUGAAAUACCACCCUUUAAUGUUUGAUGUUCUAACGUGGACCCGUGAUCCGGGUUGCGGACAGUGUCUGGUGGGUAGUUUGACUGGGGCGGUCUCCUCCUAAAGAGUAACGGAGGAGCACGAAGGUUGGCUAAUCCUGGUCGGACAUCAGGAGGUUAGUGCAAUGGCAUAAGCCAGCUUGACUGCGAGCGUGACGGCGCGAGCAGGUGCGAAAGCAGGUCAUAGUGAUCCGGUGGUUCUGAAUGGAAGGGCCAUCGCUCAACGGAUAAAAGGUACUCCGGGGAUAACAGGCUGAUACCGCCCAAGAGUUCAUAUCGACGGCGGUGUUUGGCACCUCGAUGUCGGCUCAUCACAUCCUGGGGCUGAAGUAGGUCCCAAGGGUAUGGCUGUUCGCCAUUUAAAGUGGUACGCGAGCUGGGUUUAGAACGUCGUGAGACAGUUCGGUCCCUAUCUGCCGUGGGCGCUGGAGAACUGAGGGGGGCUGCUCCUAGUACGAGAGGACCGGAGUGGACGCAUCACUGGUGUUCGGGUUGUCAUGCCAAUGGCACUGCCCGGUAGCUAAAUGCGGAAGAGAUAAGUGCUGAAAGCAUCUAAGCACGAAACUUGCCCCGAGAUGAGUUCUCCCUGACCCUUUAAGGGUCCUGAAGGAACGUUGAAGACGACGACGUUGAUAGGCCGGGUGUGUAAGCGCAGCGAUGCGUUGAGCUAACCGGUACUAAUGAACCGUGAG
rnacentral:rRNA from 1 species